GUGGGGUGAUGGCCUACCAAGGCGACGACGGGUAGCCGGCCUGAGAGGGCGAUCGGCCACACUGGGACUGAGACACGGCCCAGACUCCUACGGGAGGCAGCAGUGGGGAAUAUUGCGCAAUGGGCGAAAGCCUGACGCAGCGACGCCGCGUGAGGGAUGACGGCCUUCGGGUUGUAAACCUCUUUCAGCAGGGACGAAGCGAGAGUGACGGUACCUGCAGAAGAAGCACCGGCCAACUACGUGCCAGCAGCCGCGGUAAUACGUAGGGUGCAAGCGUUGUCCGGAAUUAUUGGGCGUAAAGAGCUCGUAGGCGGCCUGUCGCGUCGGCUGUGAAAACCCGGGGCUCAACCCCGGGCCUGCAGUCGAUACGGGCAGGCUAGAGUCCGGUAGGGGAGACUGGAAUUCCUGGUGUAGCGGUGAAAUGCGCAGAUAUCAGGAGGAACACCGGUGGCGAAGGCGGGUCUCUGGGCCGGAACUGACGCUAAGGAGCGAAAGCGUGGGGAGCGAACAGGAUUAGAUACCCUGGUAGUCCACGCCGUAAACGUUGGGCGUAGGUGUGGGGGACCUUCCCACGGCCUCCGUGCCGCAGCUAACGC
rnacentral:rRNA from 1 species